UGAACUGUGUGGCUCAGGUGGUAGGAGUAAAGAAUAGAGGUUAGUUGAACUGUGUGGCUUAGGUGGUAAGAGUAAAGAAUAGAGGUUAGUUGAACUGUGUGGCUCAGGUGGUAAGAGUAAAGAAUAGAGGUUAGUUGAACUGUGUGGCUCAGGUGGUAAGAGUAAAGAAUAGAGGUUAGUUGAACUGUGUGGCUCAGGUGGUAAGAGUAAAGAAUAGAGGUUAGUUGAACUGUGUGGCUCAGGUGGUAAGAGUAAAGAAUAGAGGUUAGUUGAACUGAGUGGCUCAGGUGGUAAGAGUAAAGAAUAGAGGUUAGUUGAACUGUGUGGCUCAGGUGGUAAGAGUAAAGAAUAGAGGUUAGUUGAACUGAGUGGCUCAGGUGGUAAGAGUAAAGAAUAGAGGUUAGUUGAACUGUGUGGCUCAGGUGGUAAGAGUAAAGAAUAGAGGUUAGUUGAACUGAGUGGCUCAGGUGGUAAGAGUAAAGAAUAGAGGUUAGUUGAACUGUGUGGCUCAGGUGGUAAGAGUAAAGAAUAGAGGUUAGUUGAACUGAGUGGCUCAGGUGGUAAGAGUAAAGAAUAGAGGUUAGUUGAACUGUGUGGCUCAGGUGGUAAGAGUAAAGAAUAGAGGUUAGUUGAACUGAGUGGCUCAGGUGGUAAGAGUAAAGAAUAGAGGUUAGUUGAACUGUGUGGCUCAGGUGGUAAGAGUAAAGAAUAGAGGUUAGUUGAACUGUGUGGCUCAGGUGGUAAGAGUAAAGAAUAGAGGUUAGUUGAACUGUGUGGCUCAGGUGGUAAGAGUAAAGAAUAGAGGUUAGUUGAACUGAGUGGCUCAGGUGGUAAGAGUAAAGAAUAGAGGUUAGUUGAACUGUGUGGCUCAGGUGGUAAGAGUAAAGAAUAGAGGUUAGUUGAACUGAGUGGCUCAGGUGGUAAGAGUAAAGAAUAGAGGUUAGUUGAACUGUGUGGCUCAGGUGGUAAGAGUAAAGAAUAGAGGUUAGUUGAACUGAGUGGCUCAGGUGGUAAGAGUAAAGAAUAGAGGUUAGUUGAACUGAGUGGCUCAGGUGG